GAGUCGGUGGCGAAGCUGGUUAUCGCAUCCGUCUCACAUUUCUCUGUCACGGAAGGUCCUCAGUUCGAUCCUGGGUCGACUCA